AACCUUUCAACAAUGGAUCUCUUGGCUCUCGCGUCGAUGAAGAACGUGGCAAAAUGCGAUAAGUAGUGUGAAUUGCAGAAUUUAGUGAAUCAUCGAAUUUUUGAACGCAUCUUGCGCUCCUUAGUAUUCUAGGGGGCAUGCCUGUUUGAGCGUUAUUU
rnacentral:rRNA from 1 species